AGAGUUUGAUCAUGGCUCAGGAUGAACGCUGGCGGCGUGCUUAAACACAUGCAAGUCGAACGAUGAAAGCGGGAGCUUGCUCCUGCUGGAUUAGUGGCGAACGGGUGAGUAACACGUGAGUAACCUGCCCUUGACUCUGGGAUAAGCGUUGGAAACGACGUCUAAUACCGGAUACGACCUUCGGAGGCAUCUCCUGGGGGUGGAAAGAAUUUCGGUCAAGGAUGGACUCGCGGCCUAUCAGCUAGUUGGUGAGGUAAUGGCUCACCAAGGCGACGACGGGUAGCCGGCCUGAGAGGGUGACCGGCCACACUGGGACUGAGACACGGCCCAGACUCCUACGGGAGGCAGCAGUGGGGAAUAUUGCACAAUGGGCGCAAGCCUGAUGCAGCAACGCCGCGUGAGGGACGACGGCCUUCGGGUUGUAAACCUCUUUUAGUAGGGAAGAAGCGAAAGUGACGGUACCUGCAGAAAAAGCACCGGCUAACUACGUG
rnacentral:rRNA from 1 species